rnacentral:rRNA from 1 species
GACAGAGGGUGCAAACGUUGUUCGGAAUUACUGGGCGUAAAGCGCGUGUAGGCGGCUUGGCAAGUCGGGUGUGAAAGCCCUGGGCUCAACCUAGGAAGUGCACUCGAAACUGCUUCGCUUGAGUGUCGGAGAGGAAAGCGGAAUUCUCGGUGUAGAGGUGAAAUUCGUAGAUAUCGAGAGGAACACCGGUGGCGAAGGCGGCUUUCUGGACGAUAACUGACGCUGGAGACGCGAAAGCGUGGGGAGCAAACAGG